rnacentral:rRNA from 1 species
GGCUGUCACUUACAGAUGGACCCGCGGCGCAUUAGCUAGUUGGUGAGGUAACGGCUCACCAAGGCGACGAUGCGUAGCCGACCUGAGAGGGUGAUCGGCCACACUGGGACUGAGACACGGCCCAGACUCCUACGGGAGGCAGCAGUAGGGAAUCUUCCGCAAUGGACGAAAGUCUGACGGAGCAACGCCGCGUGAGUGAUGAAGGUUUUCGGAUCGUAAAGCUCUGUUGUUAGGGAAGAACAAGUGCAAGAGUAACUGCUUGCACCUUGACGGUACCUAACCAGAAAGCCACGGCUAACUACGUGCCAGCAGCCGCGGUAAUACGUAGGUGGCAAGCGUUGUCCGGAAUUAUUGGGCGUAAAGGGCUCGCAGGCGGUUUCUUAAGUCUGAUGUGAAAGCCCCCGGCUCAACCGGGGAGGGUCAUUGGAAACUGGGAAACUUGAGUGCAGAAGAGGAGAGUGGAAUUCCACGUGUAGCGGUGAAAUGCGUAGAGAUGUGGAGGAACACCAGUGGCGAAGGCGACUCUCUGGUCUGUAACUGACGCUGAGGAGCGAAAGCGUGGGGAGCGAACAGGAUUAGAUACCCUGGUAGUCCACGCCGUAAACGAUGAGUGCUAAGUGUUAGGGGGUUUCCGCCCCUUAGUGCUGCAGCUAACGCAUUAAGCACUCCGCCUGGGGAGUACGGUCGCAAGACUGAAACUCAAAGGAAUUGACGGGGGCCCGCACAAGCGGUGGAGCAUGUGGUUUAAUUCGAAGCAACGCGAAGAACCUUACCAGGUCUUGACAUCCUCUGACAACCCUAGAGAUAGGGCUUUCCCUUCGGGGACAGAGUGACAGGUGGUGCAUGGUUGUCGUCAGCUCGUGUCGUGAGAUGUUGGGUUAAGUCCCGCAACGAGCGCAACCCUUGAUCUUAGUUGCCAGCAUUCAGUUGGGCACUCUAAGGUGACUGCCGGUGACAAACCGGAGGAAGGUGGGGAUGACGUCAAAUCAUCAUGCCCCUUAUGACCUGGGCUACACACGUGCUACAAUGGACAGAACAAAGGGCUGCGAGACCGCAAGGUUUAGCCAAUCCCACAAAUCUGUUCUCAGUUCGGAUCGCAGUCUGCAACUCGACUGCGUGAAGCUGGAAUCGC